rnacentral:tRNA from 1 species
GCCUCCUUAGCUCGGGGGCAGAGCACUGGUCUUGUAAACCAGGGGUCGUGAGUUCGAUUCUCACAGGGGGCA